AAUGAAGGGGCGGGGUGGGAUCUCGGUUAAGCCGGGGCUGGAGCGGCGACAGUUUCGGCUAGUCUGAGAAGGGCAUUCGAGUGACCGUUGACAACGGGGGAGACAGCGUCAAGGCUGAAGGAAGAACCUUUAACUUUAUGCUUCCAGGACUACUAGCUAGCAUCCUUUAUUGCAGGGAACAUCUAGGAGGUAUUGGGAUUUCUGGCGCUUUUUAAGUGAUGAAAGACAGAUUAAAGUCCACUGAACAAGGGGAAAACAAUAACAUUUGGUUUGGGAAUAAAAGUUCAUCUGGAGUAUGAAAAACACUUUUCCUCAAGUCAGAGAAGAAGAUAUGCUGAGACCUCAAAGAAAGGGAAAGCCGACUUAAUAUUUAAAUACUACCUACCAUUCCAUGGGGCCUAGGAGCAGAAGUGUUUUAGGGU